GACGAACGCUGGCGGCAUGCCUAAUACAUGCAAGUCGAACGCUGAAGCACUCUGCUUGCAGAGUGCGGAUGAGUGGCGAACGGGUGAGUAACACGUGGGGAAUCUGCCUAGGAGUGGGGGAUAACAUUCGGAAACGGAUGCUAAUACCGCAUAUCUUCUUAGACCGCAUGGUCUAUGAAUGAAAGACGGCUUUGCUGUCGCUCUUAGAUGAUCCCGCGGCGUAUUAGUUAGUUGGUGGGGUAAAGGCCUACCAAGACAAUGAUACGUAGCCGACCUGAGAGGGUGAUCGGCCACACUGGGACUGAGACACGGCCCAG
rnacentral:rRNA from 1 species